GUCGUACCUGGUCGACUAGGCAUCUCCGCCACACAGAGAGUCUGAUGCUCAUUGGCUCUCCCUCUGGCCAAUCGUCACACCCUUCAAGUACUCAAUUCCCCCAGCCCCAGCAACCCCGGGAGAUUUGAAUCGAGCCCCGCUAACGAUGACGGUCUGGAGGAACUAUUCUUGCGUGAAGUGUUUUCUUCUCCUUGCUUCUUUCUCGCGUCGUUUCUCUUGAGUUUUGUUAGCUUUCGGCUGGAAAUGGAGCAUUUGCCGCCAGUGUGGCAGUUGUUGGGGCGUGGCAGGUGGGAAGUCGAGACAGAUGAAGUGGUCCUGCAGCAGAGGUAGAAGUAGCUAGUUUAUGGCAAGUGCACACCUGGUUACCAGUGCUUUCUGCAGCAGGUCCCCCAAGUGAGUGCAUCUGUGGGUGGUCGCAACAAGAAUGUCAACCAAAUGGCUGUAGCUCAUUGUCAAGUGAUGGAAAGAGAACUGGAAACCAAGUGCUCUAGCAAAGGGCACAGUGACAGCCUGGAUUUCACCCUCAAACACCAAACAAAAACAGGAGGUACAGCCGCCGAUCCUGGGAUGCCCAGAUCAGGCAAUGGAGAAGAGCCCUGCAUACCUGGGAUCCCCCAAGGCGCAGCCUCUGCAUGAAAGGGAGGCUGAGGGGUGUGUUCACUAAUUUGGCUCAUUCUGCAAGUUCUGUAGGCUGAGCCCUACUUUCUCCAUUUUGCAAAGACUUAGGUUUUAUUGGGUGGAAGUGGGGGUAUCUGAGGGAGUGGAUGUUCUCUCACUCUGCCGCCUCCCUAGGAAGGAGACUAAGAACUCCCUAGGGCCAGUGGAUCCUACUCCUUUGGAUGAUCUCCUGGAUGACUGGCUCCAGGCCCCAGAAUCCUCAGAAAAUUGGGACAAAGGCCAGAAAGAGGCCCAGGUAGUGGCCUUUGCCAAAAACCUUUGGAACAGGGAAAAAGAUGGGGUCUGACCCAUGAACACACAAGUAAGUCCAAAAGAGGUGGAGGCAGGAGAUAGAGUGCUUGCCUUUAUGGCCCUGAGUUUGCUCUCUUUCACCACAAAUAAGACAAAGGGAACCCCUGGAAUCCCAGCACUGGGAAAGUGGAAGCAAAGGAUCAGG
rnacentral:lncRNA from 1 species